AUGAAGGCCUUAGGGUCGUAAAGCACUUUCGCCUGUGAAGAUAAUGACUGUAGCAGGUAAAGAAACCCCGGCUAACUCCGUGCCAGCAGCCGCGGUAAUACGGAGGGGGUUAGCGUUGUUCGGAAUUACUGGGCGUAAAGCGCGCGUAGGCGGGCUGGAAAGUUGGGGGUGAAAUCCCGGGGCUCAACCCCGGAACUGCCUCCAAAACUCCCAGACUAGAGGUCGAGAGAGGUGAGUGGAAUUCCGAGUGUAGAGGUGAAAUUCGUAGAUAUUCGGAGGAACACCAGUGGCGAAGGCGGCUCACUGGCUCGAUACUGACGCUGAGGUGCGAAAGUGUGGGGAGCAAACAGGAUUAGAUACCCUGGUAGUCCACACCGUAAACGAUGAAUGCCAGUCGUCGGG
rnacentral:rRNA from 2 species